CGAACGGGUGAGGAACACGUGAAGAAUCUGCCCUCCACUUUGGGAUAACUCCGGGAAACCGGGGCUAAUACCGAAUAUUGAAAUAUAAGUGGCAUCACUGAAUUUUGAAAGAAUUUUGGUGGAGGAUGACUUCGCGGCCUAUCAGCUAGUUGGUGAGGUAACGGCUCACCAAGGCAACGACGGGUAGCCGGCCUGAGAGGGCGACCGGCCACACUGGGACUGAGACACGGCCCANACUCCUACGGGAGGCAGCAGUGGGGAAUAUUGGGCAACGGACGAAGCUCUGACCCAGCGACGCCGCGUGCGGGAUGAAGGCCUUCGGGUUGUAAACCGCUUUCAGUAGGGAAGAAGCGAAAGUGACGGUACCUACAAAAGAAGCACCGGCUAACUAUGUGCCAGCAGCCGCGGUAAUACAUAGGGUGCAAGCGUUGUCCGGAAUUAUUGGGCGUAAAGAGCUCGUAGGUUGUUCGUUACGUCGGAUGUGAAAAUCUGAGGCUCAACCUCAGACCUGCAUUCGAUACGGGCGAACUGGAGUGUGGUAGGGGAGACUGGAAUUCCUGGUGUAGCGGUGGAAUGCGCAGAUAUCAGGAGGAACACCAAUGGCGAAGGCAGGUCUCUGGGCCAUUACUGACACUGAGGAGCGAAAGUCUGGGGAGCGAACAGGAUUAGAUACCCUGGUAGUCCAGACCGUAAACGGUGGGCGCUAGUUGUGGGAACCUUCCACGGUUUCUGCGACGUAGCUAACGCAUUAAGCGCCCCGCCUGGGGAGUACGAUCGCAAGAUUAAAACUCAAAGGAAUUGACGGGGCCCCGCACAAGCAGCGGAGCAUGCGGCUUAAUUCGACGCAACGCGAAGAACCUUACCAAGGCUUGACAUAUAGGGAAUAAGCACAGAGAUAUUGUGUCCGCAAGGGCCCUAUACAGGUGGUGCAUGGUUGUCGUCAGCUCGUGUCGUGAGAUGUUGGGUUAAGUCCCGCAACGAGCGCAACCCUCGUCCUGUGUUGCCAGCAUUCCGUUGGGGACUCACAGGAGACUGCCGGGGUUCACUCGGAGGAAGGUGGGGAUGACGUCAAAUCAUCAUGCCCCUUAUGUCU
rnacentral:rRNA from 1 species